rnacentral:misc_RNA from 1 species
GAUGAAGAACGUAGCGAAAUGCGAUAAGUAAUGUGAAUUGCAGAAUUCAGUGAAUCAUCGAGUCUUUGAACGCACAUUGCGCCCCCUGGUAUUCCGGGGGGCAUGCCUGUCCGAGCGUCAUUGCUGCCCUCAAGCACGGCUUGUGUGUUGGGCCCCCGUCCCCGGUUUCCCCCGGGGACGGGCCCGAAAGGCAGCGGCGGCACCGCGUCCGGUCCUCGAGCGUAUGGGGCUUUGUCACCCGCUCUGUAGGCCCGGCCGGCGCCAGCCGACACCCAACUUUAUUUCUAAGGUUGACCUCGGAUCAGGUAGGGAUACCCGCUGAACUUAAGCAUAUCAAUAAGCGGAGA